AAUCUGGGGCCCUCGGCCCCCGAGUUGUAAUUUGGAGAGGCAUCUUCGGAGGGGAGCGCCGGCCCAUGUUCCUUGGAACAGGACGUCGCAGAGGGUGAGAAUCCCGUGCCAGGCCGGCAGCCUCCCCUCGAGUGAAGGGCCUUCGACGAGUCGAGUUGUUUGGGAAUGCAGCUCCAAGUGGGUGGUAUAUUUCAUCUAAAGCUAAAUACCGGCGGGAGACCGAUAGCGCACAAGUAGAGUGAUCGAAAGAUGAAAAGCACUUUGAAAAUAGAGUCAAAAAGUACGUGAAAUUGUUGAAAGGGAAGCGCUUGAGACCAGACUCAGACCCGAGCAAACACCGCGCCCCUCGGGGCCGUGCAAUUGCCAGGGGCUGGGCCAGCAUCAGUUGGCGUGGCGGGACAAAGGCGCGGGCAAUGUGGCUCCCCUCGGGGAGUGUUAUUAGGCCCACGCUCAAUGCCGCCGACGUCGACUGAGGACCGCGCCUCGGCUAGGAUGCUGGCUUAAUGGCCUUCAGCGACCCGUCUUGAAACACGGA
rnacentral:rRNA from 1 species